rnacentral:siRNA from 1 species
UCAUAUUCAAGUAUCUGCAAA